rnacentral:rRNA from 1 species
UACGUAGGGUGCAAGCGUUAAUCGGAAUUACUGGGCGUAAAGCGUGCGCAGGCGGUUCGUUGUGUCCGAUGUGAAAGCCCCGAGCUCAACUUGGGAAUGGCAUUGGAAACUGGCGAGCUGGAGUGUGGCAGAGGGGGGUGGAAUUCCACGUGUAGCAGUGAAAUGCGUAGAGAUGUGGAGGAACACCGAUGGCGAAGGCAGCCCCCUGGGCCAACACUGACGCUCAGGCACGAAAGCGUGGGGAGCAAACAGG